AUCGUGGUAUUGAUUUGCAUUUCUCUAAUAAUGAGUGAUGUUGAACAUCUUUUUAUGUGUUUUUUGUCCAUCUGUAUGUCUUCUUUGGAGAAUUGUCUAUUUAGAUCUUCUGCCCAUUUUUUGAUGGGGUUGGAUUUUUUUUGGUAUUGAGCUGCAGAAGGUGGUUAUAAAUUUUGGAGAUGAAUCCCUUGUCAGUCGAUUCACUUGCAAAGAUUUUCUCCCAUUCUGUGGGUUGUUUUUUUGUGUUGUUUAGGGUUUCCUUUGCUGUGCAGAAACUUUUCAGUUUGAGUAGGUCCCAUUUGUAUAUUUUUCUUUUUAUUGUCAAUACUCUGAUAGGUGGAUCUGAGAAGAUGUUGCUGUCGUUUAUGUCAGAGAGUGUUUGGCCUAUGUUUUCCUCUAGGAGUUUGAUAGUAUCUGGUCUUAUAUCUAGGUCUUUAAUCCAUUUUGAGUUUAUUUUUGUGUGUGGUGGUAGGGAGUGUUCUAAUUUCAUUCUUUUCCAUGUGGCUGUCCAGUUUUCCCAGCACCACUUAUUGAACAAGCUGUCCUUUCUCCAUUGUAUGGUCUUGCCUCCUUUGUCAUAGAUUAGUUGGCUGUAUGUGCAUGGGUUUAAUUCUGGGCUUCCUAUCCUGUUCCACUAAUCUAUAUAUCUGUCUUUGUGCCAGUAGUAUAUGGUUUUGAUGAUUGUUGUUUGUAGUAUAGUCUGAAGUCUGGGAGCCUGAUUCCUCCAGCUACAUUUUUCUUUUUCAGGAUGUCUUUGGCUAUUCUGGGUCUUUUGUACUUCCAAACAAACUUUAAAAUAUUUUGUUCAAGUUCUGUGAAAAAUGUCCUUGGUAAUUUGAUAGGAUUGCAUUGAAUCUGUGGAUUGCCUUGGGUAGUAUAGUCAUUUUGAUAAUAUUAACUCUUCCAAUCCAUGAGCAUGGUAUAUCUUUCCAUCUAUCUGUGUCAUCUUUGAUUUCUUUCAUCAGUGGCCUGUAGUUUUCAGAGUACAGGUCUUUUGCCUCUUUAGGUAGGUUUACUCCUAGGUAUUUUAUUCUUUUGGAUGUGAUGGUAAAUGGGAUUGCUUCCCUAAUUUCCUCUUCUACUUUUUCAUUGUUAGUAUAUAGAAACGCUAUCAAUUUCUGUGUAUUGAUUUUGUAUCCUGCGACUUCGCCAAAUUCGUGGAUAAGCUCUAAUAGUUUUCUGGUAGAGUCUUUAGGAUUCUCUAGGUAUAGUAUCAUGUCAUCUGCAAAUAGCGGUAAUUUUACUUCUUCCUUUCCAAUUUGGAUUCCUUUUAUUUAUUUUACUUCUCUGAUUGCUGUGGCUAGCACUUCCAGAGCUAUGUUGAAGAGUAGUGGCAAGAGCGGACAUCCUUGUCUUGUUCCUGAUCUCACGGGGAAUUCUUUCAGCUUUUCACCAUUGAGAAUGAUGUUCGCUGUGGGUUUGUUGUAUAUGGCCUUUAUCAUGUUGAGGUAGGUUCCCAUUAUGCCCACUUUCUGAAGGGUUUUUUUCAGAAAUGGGUGUUGGAUUUUGUCAAAGGCUUUUUCCACGUCUAUUGAGAGGAUCAUAUGGUUUUUAUCUUCAGUUGUUAAUGUAGUGUAUCACACUGAUGGACUUGCGGAUAUUGAAGAAUCCUUGCAUCCCUGGGAUAAAUCCCACUUGAUCAUGAUGUACAAUCCUUUUAAUGUAUUGUUGGAUGUGGUUUGCUAGUAUUUUGUUGAGGAUUUUUGCAUCGAUGUUCAUCAGUGAUAUUGGCCUGUAGUUUUCUUUUUUUGUGGAGUCUUUGUCUGGUUUUGGUACCAGGGUGACGGUGGCCUCAUAGAAUGAGUUUGGGAGUAUCCCUUACUCUGCAAUUUUUUGAAAUAGUUUCAGAAGGAGAGGUGUUAGCUCUUCUCUAAAUGUUUGAUAGAAUUCGCCUGUGAAGCCAUCUGGUCCUGGACUUUUGUUUGUUGGAAGUUUUUAAAUCACAGUUUCAGUUUCAGUUCUUGUGAUUGGUCCAUUCAUCUUUUCUAUUUCAUCUUGGUUUAGUCUUGGAAGAUUGUACUUUUCUAAGAAUUUGUCCAUUUCUUCUAGGUUUUCCAUUUUAUUGCCGUAUAGUUGCAUAUAGUAGUCUCUUUUGUAUAGUAGUCUCCUUUGUAUUUCUGUGGUGUCCGUUGUUACUUCUCCUUUUUCAUUUCUAAUUUUAUUGAUUUGAGUCCUCUCUUUUGCUUGAUAAGUCUGGCUAGGGGUUUAUCAAUUUUGUUGAUCUUUUCAAAUAACCAGCUUUUUGUUUCAUUGAUCUUUUCUGUGGUUUUCUUUGUUUCUAUUUCAUUGAUUUCUGCUCUGAUCUUUAUGAUUUCUUUCCUUCUACUAACUUUAGGUCUUGUCCUUCUCUCUCAAGCUGCUUUAGAUGUAAAGUUAGCUUGUUGAUUUGAGCUUUUUCUUGUUUCCUGAGGUGGGCUUGUAUUGCUAUAAACUUUCCUCUUAGAACAGCUUUUGCUCCAUCCCAUAGGUUUUGGAGUGUGGAAUCUUCAUUGUCGUUUGCUGCUAGGUAUUUUUUAAUUUCCUCUUUGAUUUCUUCAGUGAUCCAUUGGUUGUUUAGUAGCAUGUUGAGUCUCCACGUGUUUGUGUUUUUUGCAGUUUUUUUCUUGUUGAUUUCCAGUUGUAUAGCAUUGUGGUCAGAAAAGAUGCUUGAUAUGAUUUCAAUUUUCUUAAAGUUACUGAGGUUGGAUUUGUAGCCCAGGAUAUGAUCAAUCUUAGAGAAUGUUCCAUGUGCACUUGAGAAGAAUGUGUAUUCUGUUGCUUUUGGAUGAAAUGUCCUACAAAUAUCUGUUAAGUCCAUCUGGUUUAAUGCUUCAUUCAGGGCCUGUGUUUCCUUAUUGAUUUUCUGUCUGGUUGAUCUGUCCAUUGCUGUAAGUGGGGUGUUAAAGUCCCCCACUAUGAUUGUGUUAUUAUCGAUUCCUCCUUUUAAGGUUGUUAGCAGUAGCCUUAUAUAUUGUGGUGAACCUGUGUUGGGUGUGUAGAUAAAAUUGUUAUAUCAUCUUCUUGGACUGAUCCUUUGAUCAUUAUGUAAUGUCCUUCUUUGUCCCUGAAAAUAUUCUUCAUUUUAAAGUCUAUUUUGUCUGAUAUGAGUAUUGCUUCUCCAGCUUUCUUUUGAUCCCCGUUUGCGUGAAAUAUUUUCCUCCAUCCUCUCACUUUCAAUUUGUAUGUGUCCCUAGAAGUGAAGUGGGUCUCUUGAAGACAGCAUAUAUAUGGGUCUUGUUUUUUUAUCCAUUUAGCCAGUCUAUGUCUUCUGGUUGGGGCAUUAAUCCAUUCACAUUUAAGGUAAUUAUUGAUAUGUAUGUUCUUAUUGCCAUUUUAUUAAUUACUUUGGAUUUGUUUUUGCUGCUCUUUUUCCUUUCCUUCUUCUCUUGUUCUUUUCUGCCUAGAGAAGUUCCUUUAGUAUUUGUUGUAAGGCUGGUUUAGUGUUGCUGAAUUCUCUCAGCUCUUGCUUAUCUGUGAAGGUUUUGAUUUCUCCUUCAAAUCUGAACGGAGUCUUGCUUGGUAGAGUAAUCUUGGUUGGAGGUUUUUUCCUUUCAUCAUGUUGAGUAUGUCAUGCACUCCCUUCUGGCCUGCAGAGUUUCUGUUGAAAAAUCUGCCAAUAGCCUUAUCGGGGUUCCCUUGUAUGUUAUUUGUUUCUUUUCCCUAGCUGCUUUCAAGAUUUUGUCUUUAAUUUUGGUCAGUUUGAUUAGUAUGUGUCUCGGGGUGUUCCUCCUUGGGUUUAUUUUGUAUGGUACUCGUUGUGAUUCCUGUAUUUGAGUGAGUGAUUCCUUCCCCAUAUUGGGGAAGUUUUCAGCUAUUAUCUCUUGGAAUAUUUUUUCUGUCUCCUCUCUCUCUUCUCCUUCUGGCACCCCUAUAAUACGGAUGUUGGUGCAUUUCACGUUGUCCCAGAGUUCUCUGAGACUCUCUUCAUUUGUUUUCAAUCUUUUUUCUCUUUUCUGUUCUGCAUCCGUAAUUUCCACUAAUCUGUCCUCCACCUCGCUUAUUCGUUCUUCUGCCUCCUGUAUUCUGCUGUUAGCUGCUUCUAGUGAAUUUUUUAUUUCAGUUAUUGUAUUUUGCCUCUCUUCUUGUUUAAGUUUUACAUCUUGUAUCUCUUUGGUCAGUGUUUCCUGUAAGUUAUCCAUCUUUGCCUCCAGUUUAUUUCCAAUGUCUUGCAUCUUCUUCAGCAUCAACAGUCUAAAGUCUUUUUCCUGGAGGCUGAGACUCUCCUCAUGGCUUAGCUGUUUUUCUGGGGUUUUUUUCUUUCUCCCUCAUCUGAGUUAUAGUUCUCUGUCUUUUCAUUUUUAUAGGUUUUUGGUGUGGCGACCUUCUUACAGAUAAUAGAGUUGUAGCCUCUCUUACUUCUGAUGUCUGCCCCCCUGUGGCUGAAGUCAGUAUGGAGGCUUGGUGUAGGCUUCCUGAUGGGAGGCGCUGAUGCCUGCCCCCUGGUAGGAGGAGCCGAUUCUAAUCCCUCUGGUGGGUGGGGCUUAGUCUCUGGAUGGGAUUAGAGGCAGCUGUGUGCCUGAGGGUUCUUUAGGUAGCCUGUUUACUGAGGGGUGGGGCUGUGAUCCCACCUGGGUUGUUUGCCCUGGGGCUUCUCAGCAGCUGGCUGAUGGGUGGGGCCAGAUUUUCCCAAAAUGACCACCUCCAUAGAAAGGUGAGGCUGCUGAAUAUUCCUGAGAGCUUCGCUUUCAAUGUCCUUCCCUCACAACAAGCCACAUUCACCCCUGUUUUCCCAGGAUGUCCUCCAAGAACUGCAGUCAGGUUUGACCCAGAUUCUCUUGGAGACUUUGCUUUGCCCUGGGACUCAGUGCACAUGAAAGUCUGUGUGUACCUUUUAAGAAUGGGGUCUCCGUUUCCCCCAGUCCCGUGGAGCUCUUGCGCACAAGCCCCACUGGCCUUCAAUGCCAGAUGCUCCGGAGCUCUUUCUCCCUGUACCAGAUCCCCACAUGUGAGAGUUUGAUGUGUGGCUCAGAACUCUCACUCCUGUAGGUGAGUCUCUGAGAACCAGUUAGUUUCCAGUCUGUGGCGCUUCCCACCCAGGAGGUAUGGGGUUGUUUAUGUCGCGAAAUCGCCCCUCCUACCUCUUGAUUGGCCUCCUCUUUUUCUUCUGGAGUAGGGUAUCUUUUUUAAGGUUUCCAGUCCAUUUUGGUGAAGUGUGCUCAGUCUUUAGUUGUGAAUUUUGUUGUUUUUAGGAGAGAAGUUGAGCUCCAGUCCUUCUAUUCUGCCAUCUUAAUCCCAUCUCCCUGCACAGAAACUUUUAAGUUUAAUUAAGUCCCAUUUGUUUAUUUUAUUUUUUUACUGUCAUAACUCUAAGAGGUGGAUCUGAGAAGAUGUUGCUGUCAUUUAUGUCUGAAAGUGUUUGGCCUAUGCUUUCCUCUAAUAGUUUUAUCCUAUCUGGUCUUAUAUCUAGGUCUUUAAUCCAUUUUGAGUUUAUUUUUGUGUGUGGUGGUAGGCAGUGUUCUAAUUUCAUUCUUUUCCAUGUGGCUGUCCAGUUUUCCCAGCACCACUUAGUGAAUGGACUAUCGUUUCUCCAUUGUAUGGUCUUGCCUCCUUUGUCAUAGAUUAGUUGGCUGUAGGUGUGUGGGUUUAAUUCUGGGCUUUCUAUCCUGUUCCACUGAUCUAUAUUUCCGUGCUUGUGCCAGUACCAUACGGUUUUGAUGACUGUUGCUUUGUAGAUGCAAAAAUCCUCAACAAAAUGCUAGAAAACUGAAUCCAACAAUACCUUAAAAGGAUUGUACAUCAUGAUCAAGUGGGAUUUAUCUCAGGGAUGCAAGGAUUAUUCAAUGUCUGAAAUCAGUGUGAUAACCACAUUAACAAACUGAGGAAUAAAAACCAUGUGAUCCUCUUGAUAGAUGCAGAAAAAGCCUUUGACGAAAUCCAACACUCCAGUAAAAACCCUUCAGAAAGGGGCACAGAGGGAACCUACAUCAACAUAAUGAAGGCUGUAUGUGACAAACCCACAGUGAACAUAUUCUCAAUGGUGAAAAGCUGAAAGAUUUCCUGCUAAGAUAUGGAACAAGACAAGGAUGUCUGCUCUUGCCACUGCUACUCAACAUAACUUUGAAAGUCCUAGCUAUGACAAUCAGAAGAAAAAGAAAUAAAAGGAAUCCAGGAGUUCCCGUUGUGGCACAGUGGUUAACGAAUCUGCCUGGGAGCCAUGAGGUUGCGGGUUCUAUCCCUGGCCUUGCUCAGUGGGUUAGGGAUCCAGCGUUGCCGUGAGCUGUGGUGUAGAUUGCAGACACUGCUCGGAUCCCGCAUUGCUGUGGCCCUGACAUAGGCCGGCAGCUACAGCUCUGAUUCGACCCCUAGCCUGGGAAACCUCCAUAUGCUGUGGGAGUGGCCCUAGAAAAGGCAAAAAG
rnacentral:lncRNA from 1 species